UACAGGGGGUGCGAGCGUUACUCGGAAUUACUGGGCGUAAAGCGCGCGUAGGCGGCUUUGCAAGUCGGGUGUGAAAUCCCCAGGCUUAACCUGGGAACUGCAUUCGAGACUGCAUUGCUAGAGUAUGGGAGAGGGAAGUGGAAUUUCCGGUGUAGCGGUGAAAUGCGUAGAUAUCGGAAGGAACAUCAGUGGCGAAAGCGACUUCCUGGACCAGUACCGACGUUCAGGCACGAAAGCGUGGGGAGCAAACAGG
rnacentral:rRNA from 1 species